rnacentral:rRNA from 1 species
AGUAGCCGCGGUAAUACGUAGGUGGCAAGCGUUGUCCGGAAUUAUUGGGCGUAAAGGGCUCGCAGGCGGUUUCUUAAGUCUGAUGUGAAAGCCCCCGGCUCAACCGGGGAGGGUCAUUGGAAACUGGGAUACUUGAGUGCAGAAGAGGAGAGUGGAAUUCCACGUGUAGCGGUGAAAUGCGUAGAGAUGUGGAGGAACACCAGUGGCGAAGGCGACUCUCUGGUCUGUAACUGACGCUGAGGAGCGAAAGCGUGGGGAGCGAACAGGAUUAGAUACCCGUGUAGUCCCUGUCUCUUAUACA